GGGAUGUUAACUUAAGUUUAAAGUGUCAAAUUUUUAAUUUGAAGAUGUGUUUACACAUCCUG
rnacentral:tRNA from 1 species